rnacentral:sRNA from 1 species
UGCGAUCACUAUAGUCUGACCUCCAUCAGGGCAACAAGACAUCAGACAGACACACGCCAGAAAGGCAGCAUGCUGUGGUUCAUUCUAGAGCCUCGCCUGCACACCGGGGACUCUUGUGGUGCAUCCAGUUAUGGACAGUAUACAGACUCUCAGCCCUGGAUUGAACAUUGGGCCUUGACUGCCUUCCCUGGAUAUGUCCACAGCUUGGCUUGUUGAAGCUGGUACAGCUAAGGGGGACAAGCUGAAGUGGCUAACAGGGAACGAAGGACCACAGGGAGCAGAUCUGGACCUCACAGCUGCCCUGACACCUGCCAGCCAUGAG